UCUAGCCUGAAGUCAGAC
rnacentral:rRNA from 1 species